rnacentral:rRNA from 1 species
GAUCAUGGCUCAGGACGAACGCUGGCGGCGUGCUUAACACAUGCAAGUCGAACGGAGUGCUCAUGACAGAGGUUUCGGCCAAUGGAUUGAGUUACUUAGUGGCGGACUGGUGAGUAACGCGUGAGGAACCUGCCUUUCAGAGGGGGACAACAGUUGGAAACGACUGCUAAUACCGCAUGACACAUUGGAGGGGCAUCCCUUUGAUGUCAAAGAUUUUAUCGCUGAAAGAUGG